CCUACGGGGGGCAGCAGUGGGGAAUAUUGGGCAAUGGACGCAAGUCUGACCCAGCAACGCCGCGUGAAGGAAGAAGGCUUUCGGGUUGUAAACUUCUUUUAAGGGGGAAGAGCAGAAGACGGUACCCCUUGAAUAAGCCACGGCUAACUACGUGCCAGCAGCCGCGGUAAUACGUAGGUGGCAAGCGUUGUCCGGAUUUACUGGGUGUAAAGGGCGUGCAGCCGGAGAGACAAGUCAGAUGUGAAAUCCACGGGCUCAACCCGUGAACUGCAUUUGAAACUGUUUCCCUUGAGUGUCGGAGAGGUAAUCGGAAUUCCUUGUGUAGCGGUGAAAUGCGUGGAUAUUAGGAGGAACAUCAGUGGCGAAGGCGACUAUCUGGACAGCAACUGACACUGAGGCACGAAAGCGUGGGGAGCAAACAGGAUUAGAUACCCCGGUAGUC
rnacentral:rRNA from 1 species